rnacentral:rRNA from 1 species
CUUGCUUUCUUUUGCUGGCGACCGGCGCACGGGUGAGUAACACGUAUCCAACCUGCCCUUUACUCGGGGAUAGCCUUUCGAAAGAAAGAUUAAUACCCGAUAGCAUAAUGAUUCCGCAUGGUUUCAUUAUUAAAGGAUUCCGGUAAAGGAUGGGGAUGCGUUCCAUUAGGUUGUUGGUGGGGUAACGGCCCACCAAGCCUUCGAUGGAUAGGGGUUUUGAGAGGAAGGUCCCCCACAUUGGAACUGAGACACGGUCCAA